rfam:Theileria parva strain Muguga apicoplast, complete genome, whole genome shotgun sequence.
AGAAAGAUAUCUUAACUUGGUAAAGAGUCUAGAUUGCUAGUUUAGAAUAUGAGGGUUUAAAUCCCUUUCUUUCUU